rnacentral:misc_RNA from 1 species
GCAAUUUAUCCUUUUUUUAUUUAAUGUUUUCUUCUAUUUAACCACAAAUGGAAAUGUACAGUUUUUGUUAGUUUAAAAACUAUUAUGGUCUUGUCCAUGUGUACCCAAAUGGUAGAAUAUAAUGUCCAGUUAAUUUUCAAUGCUACAACCAAAUAAUGGAAAUAAUUCAUCUUCACAAAAAAUGUUUUCCACAAGCAAAAGAUUUUCUAUGAAACAAAUGGAGCUGUGGUCUUAAUUUCAUGAUUUUAAGUAAUAUCUUCUAGGAGGAAAUAUAUAGUCCAAUCAAUGGGGGACAGACAGAUAGACAAUUGUGAUUCUAGAAUUUUGAAUGUAAUGCUGGGUAAUUUCUGAAUAGAGUGCUUUGGGAUUUUGAUACAUAAUUUGCUAAGAAUCCUUAAUUUCUCGAACUUAUUUGAGACGUUCUAAUGAUAAAUUUAG